rnacentral:rRNA from 1 species
AGCUAUAAGAAAAUAUUUAUAGUUAAACCUGCCCAAUGUAAAACUUUUAUAAAUGGCCGCGGUACUCUGACCGUGCUAAGGUAGCGUAAUAAGUUGGCUUUUAAAUGGAGUCAGGUAUGAAUGGAAAAACUGGGUUUAGCUGUCUCAAUAAUGUUAUUUUGAAUUUACUGUUCAAGUGAAAAAGCUUGAUUAUAAUAAAGGGACGAGAAGACCCUUAAAAUUUUUUUUAAUAUAAUUUAUUAAUUAUUUCAAUUUUGUUGGGGCGACAUAGAAAUAUUAAAAACUUUCUGUAAUAUUAUUAGCCGGAUUUUUCAAGUUAAGAUAAAUUACUUAAGGGAUAACAGCAUAAUUCUAUAAUUGAGUUUGUGACCUCGAUGUUGGACUAGGAAGCUAAUAGGUUAGAUGCCUAUUGCGGGGAUUCUGUUCGAAUUUUAACUCCU